GGUUAAGUUAGAAAGGGCGCACGGUGGAUGCCUUGGCACUAGGAGCCGAAGAAGGACGGGACUAACACCGAUAUGCUUUGGGGAGCUGUACGUAAGCGUUGAUCCAGAGAUUUCCGAAUGGGGGAACCCACUAUCUUUAGUCGGAUAGUAUCCUUACGUGAAUACAUAGCGUGAGGAAGGCAGACCCAGGGAACUGAAACAUCUAAGUACCUGGAGGAAGAGAAAGAAAAAUCGAUUUCCUGAGUAGCGGCGAGCGAAACGGAAAGAGCCCAAACCAAGAAGCUUGCUUCUUGGGGUUGUAGGACACUCUAUACGGAGUUACAAAAGAAAGUUAUAAAU
rnacentral:rRNA from 1 species